AGCGAACGUUAGCGGCGGGCCUAACACAUGCAAGUCGAACGGGCUGUAGCAAUACAGUCAGUGGCGCACGGGUGAGUAACGCGUAGAUAAUCUACCUUCCGGCGGGGGAUAACAUUCCGAAAGGAAUGCUAAUACCGCAUAAGACCACGGGGUCCUCGGGCCCUGAGGGAAAAGGUGGCCUCUCCUUGGAAGCCAUCACCGGAAGAUGAGUCUGCGUCCCAUCAGCUAGUUGGUAAGGUAAUGGCUUACCAAGGCGAAGACGGGUAGCUGGUCUGAGAGGAUGAUCAGCCACACUGGUACUGGAACACGGACCAGACUCCUACGGGAGGCAGCAGUGGGGAAUAUUGGGCAAUGGGCGGAAGCCUGACCCAGCCACGCCGCGUGAGUGAUGAAGGCCUUCGGGUUGUAAAGCUCUGUGGGAAGGGGCGAAAAACUCAGACCUAAUACGUCUGAGGUUGACGGUACCUUCUUAGCAAGCACCGGCUAACUCUGUG
rnacentral:rRNA from 1 species